rnacentral:sRNA from 1 species
AAAUAGCCCGGAUUGCAACGGCAUCCUUUUUAUUUCGUUUGCAAAACGAAAUAAAAAGAUAGAGUGGAAAGCCGGAUUGGCU